GAUGAAGAACGUAGCGAAAUGCGAUACGUAAUGUGAAUUGCAGAAUUCAGUGAAUCAUCGAGUCUUUGAACGCACAUUGCGCCCCCUGGUAUUCCGCAGGGCAUGCCUGUUCGAGCGUCAUUUCAACCCUCAAGCUCUGCUUGGUGUUGGGCCCUGCCCGCUGCGGCCGGCCCUAAAGACAGUGGCGGUGCCGCCUGGCCCUGAGCGUAGUACAUCUCUCGCUCCAGUGCCCGGUGGUAGCCUGCCAGAACCCCAACUCUCGUGGUUGACCUCGGAUCAGGUAGGGAUACCCGCUGAACUUAAGCAUAUCAAUAAGCGGAGGA
rnacentral:misc_RNA from 1 species